rnacentral:rRNA from 1 species
CUGGCGGCAGGCCUAACACAUGCAAGUCGAGCGGCAGCGGAAAGUAGCUUGCUACUUUGCCGGCGAGCGGCGGACGGGUGAGUAAUGUCUGGGAAACUGCCUGAUGGAGGGGGAUAACUACUGGAAACGGUAGCUAAUACCGCAUGACCUCGCAAGAGCAAAGUGGGGGACCUUCGGGCCUCACGCCAUCGGAUGUGCCCAGAUGGGAUUAGCUAGUAGGUGAGGUAAUGGCUCACCUAGGCGACGAUCCCUAGCUGGUCUGAGAGGAUGACCAGCCACACUGGAACUGAGACACGGUCCAGACUCCUACGGGAGGCAGCAGUGGGGAAUAUUGCACAAUGGGCGCAAGCCUGAUGCAGCCAUGCCGCGUGUGUGAAGAAGGCCUUCGGGUUGUAAAGCACUUUCAGCGAGGAGGAAGGCAGUCGUGUUAAUAGCAC